rnacentral:rRNA from 1 species
GAUGAACGCUGGCGGCGUGCCUAAUACAUGCAAGUCGAGCGAACAGACGAGGAGCUUGCUCCUCUGACGUUAGCGGCGGACGGGUGAGUAACACGUGGAUAACCUACCUAUAAGACUGGGAUAACUUCGGGAAACCGGAGCUAAUACCGGAUAAUAUAUUGAACCGCAGGGUUCAAUAGUGAAAGACGGUUUUGCUGUCACUUAUAGAUGGAUCCGCGCCGCAUUAGCUAGUUGGUAAGGUAACGGCUUACCAAGGCGACGAUGCGUAGCCGACCUGAGAGGGUGAUCGGCCACACUGGAACUGAGACACGGUCCAGACUCCUACGGGAGGCAGCAGUAGGGAAUCUUCCGCAAUGGGCGAAAGCCUGACGGAGCAACGCUGCGUGAGUGAUGAAGGUCUUCGGAUCGUAAAACUCUGUUAUUAGGGAAGAACAACUGUGUAAGUAACUAUGCACGUCUUGACGGUACCUAAUCAGAAAGCCACGGCUAACUACGUG